rnacentral:rRNA from 1 species
GACGAACGCUGGCGGCGUGCUUAACACAUGCAAGUCGAACGGAAAGGCCUGCUUUCCCUUGUGGAUUGCGGGUACUCGAGUGGCGAACGGGUGAGUAACACGUGAGUGAUCUGCCCCCAACUUGGGUAUAAGCCUGGGAAACUGGGUCUAAUUCCCGGUAGGACUGCAGGGUGGUGCCUGUGGUGGAAAACGAUUCUCUAGUGGUUGGGGAUGAGCUCGCGGCCUAUCAGCUUGUUGGUGGGGUAAUGGCCUACCAAGGCGGCGACGGGUAGCCGGCCUGAGAGGGGGGACGGCGACAUUGGGACUGGGAUACGGCCCAGACGCCUACGGGAGGCAGCAGUGGGGAAUAUUGCACACUGGGCGGAAGCCUGAUGCAGCGACGCCGCGUGGGGGAUGACGGCCUUCGGGUGGUAAACUCCUUUCGACCGCGAGGAAGCCACCUGGUUGGAAGGGUGGUGACGGUAGUGGUAGAAGAAGCACCGGCUAACUACGUG